CUUGGUGCGCCACAACAGCGACAUCAGGAGAAAUUGGUAGACAUUUACAUUAUAAGUAGUGGCAUUCGUUAGUCAGGCACAUUUUUAGAUUAAUGAGAUCAAUAUUUCGACAGCUUAGGUUCUCUUUAGUUUAAAUGAUUUAGCAAGAUGCACACGUCAGGUAGGAGUAUUCAGAGGAGUGACAAAGAAGGAAAACCUGAAAUGUACAAUCCUAAUAUAAACAAGACUGUGCUGUUCAAUAUAUGCUAAAUAUGUGUCUAUAGUGUGACAUGAAAGACAGUGCACGUUUUAUAUUGUUAAAGAGAGCAAGAUAUAACAGAUUGUGAAACCACUGGCAAUGAUUAUGAACAAAAAUAACAUAUUAUAAUCAAUGGAAAGGAACUGCUGUGAUACUGUAAGCUAAAUGCUUAGGUAAGCCUAGUGUCUGUCUUUAUGUCUAAAUCUUGCUCUAGCGUGUGAGAAGUAUUUAAAGUUAACUGCAUAAUAACCCAUAACAUUGGCAAAAAGUUGCCCCAAGCCAUAGAUAAAGUUCAGUGAUACUUGGGCUACAAACCCGACAAGAUAUCAGGGUGUUCUGGCGUUAUCUGGUAUCAGCUGGGGAAUGCGCCCACAUGGAUCAGUUCGAGGUCUGUGAGCUGUGGGGCAGGGUGAAAUACACUUCAGCCUAUGCCCAGUGUGGGAAUGUCUCGAUUGCUGGCACAGCUGGCCCUGUCUAUGAGGUCCCUGGGCUUGAUUCCAGCUCUAGCUGUAGUCAGCGAGGCUUUCUCCUGUGUGGCCUCUUGUAGUGCAGCGUGAUCCUUGAGAGGUUGCUUCGUGCCGCUCUGGUCAGAGGUUCUUGGGUCUGAUGAGUUGCUAGCAGGUAGGCUUCGCUUGGUGCACAUGCUUCUUUGUAGGUGGGAGCGAGUGCAUGCGUUCAACUGGCAUGGCGCCGUUUCCCGCCUUGUCGAUCUCUGGUGUCUGCAUCGCCGGACGGCCGCCCUGGAUGCCCGAGGUUGGUGCCCAUAAUGGCGUCGUCGGGUAACGGGUCUCAUCCAGGAGGCUACCGCUUUCACCGCCUGGUGGUGGGCCAUUCCUCGCUCACAGAGCAUCGCCCAGAAGCUCUUACAAAGCCGGUCCAGAGCCAUCAGGGGAUGUGUAGGUGACUGGGUGCUUGUGUUUUUCAUUUUUGGCCCUUGCUUGGAGGCCAUUUUGGUUAUGCCUUGACGGUCUUGUGUUCCAGCGGGCUGUGUAAUUGUGAGGCCCACCAGCAGUCCUGGUCCGUGUAGCCAGUGGGGACCGGGAUUACCCCCGCCGGUCCAAAGGGGAGGGGGAGUAAGAGAUCAAUGAGGUCGCUUGAGGUGUCUCAGUGUUGGGGAGAAUGGCCGUCUCUCCCUGGCUCCAACCCCAGUAGGCCGCACUUGGCGUUUCACGCCCCCGGCCCCGAUGGGCUCCAGAAAGGUGUCCCUCGAUUCAACCGGGCACCCCCGGCAUGGAUGGGGUACCCCGGUGUGUUUUUGGGCUAUUUAUCUGCCCAUUUCACCGUGUUUUCUGCCCGUCGGACCGGAGCUCGCCUCACCCACGUCCGUACAGCUAGG
rnacentral:lncRNA from 1 species